rnacentral:rRNA from 1 species
UAAUACGUAGGAGGCGAGCGUUGUCCGGAUUUACUGGGCGUAAAGGGCGUGUAGGCGGUACGAAAAGUCUUUGUUGAAAUCUCCCGGCUCAACUGGGAGGGAUGCAGGGAUACUUUCGAACUAGAGGACAGUAGAGGAGAGUGGAAUUCCCGGUGUAGUGGUGAAAUGCGUAGAUAUCGGGAGGAACACCAGUGGCGAAAGCGGCUCUCUGGGCUGUACCUGACGCUGAGGCGCGAAAGCGUGGGGAGCAAACCGGAUUAGAUACCCGGGUAGUCCACGCCAUAAACGAUGGAUGCUGGGUAUGGGGGGUAUCGACCCCCUCCGUGCCGAAGCUAACGCGUUAAGCAUCCCGCCUGGGAACUACGGCCGCAAGGCUA